GACUUCAAAUCUGGCUAUAAAAAACGUGGCGCGAACAGGAAAGCUCCGAAGAGAGCCUGCAAUUUCGAAGACCUUCUCCAAGGAACUCCAAGAGCAAGAUAUGGACCGUGUCUGCAAGUGUGGUGACCCCAAGUGCACCUGCACCACCUCGUGCAAGUGCCCUGAUGGCGAUUGUCCCUGCGACAAGUGCAAGGCCAAAAGCCCCUCAAAGUAAGCCCUGCUGCGAAGCAUCGAGGCGUUCACGGACCCUGAUCUCUUCUGCAAGCACCAGAUCACGAAAGCGCAACAUGCAUGGUGCACGCAUCGUCGAUGGGGUUUGAAUAAACGCAUUUUUUGCGAAAGGACAA